GAUGAACGCUGGCGGCGUGCCUAAUACAUGCAAGUCGAGCGAACAGACGAGGAGCUUGCUCCUCUGACGUUAGCGGCGGACGGGUGAGUAACACGUGGAUAACCUACCUAUAAGACUGGGAUAACUUCGGGAAACCGGAGCUAAUACCGGAUAAUAUAUUGAACCGCAUGGUUCAAUAGUGAAAGACGGCUUUGCUGUCACUUAUAGAUGGAUCCGCGCCGCAUUAGCUAGUUGGUAAGGUAACGGCUUACCAAGGCAACGAUGCGUAGCCGACCUGAGAGGGUGAUCGGCCACACUGGAACUGAGACACGGUCCAGACUCCUACGGGAGGCAGCAGUAGGGAAUCUUCCGCAAUGGGCGAAAGCCUGACGGAGCAACGCCGCGUGAGUGAUGAAGGUCUUCGGAUCGUAAAACUCUGUUAUUAGGGAAGAACAAAUGUGUAAGUAACUAUGCACGUCUUGACGGUACCUAAUCAGAAAGCCACGGCUAACUGCGUG
rnacentral:rRNA from 1 species